AGAGACGACGGUGUCGGGCGAGGUGGUGUCGCUGCUGAACAUCUCGGCAGCCACGCCGGCGGACGGCGGCCGCUACACGUGCCGCGCGCACAACCCGCUCGGCGCCGUCGACCACUCCGCGCGACUCAACAUUUAUGGUCCCCCGUCGAUCCGGGCACUGGGGCCGGUGCGCGCCGUGGCCGGCGACAACCUCACGCUGCUGUGCCCCUACGCAGGAUAUCCGAUCAGUUCGGUGCGGUGGUCGCGGCGCGGCGGG